AACAGGAAAUGUGGUUUUAUAACAAAAAAUGAUUUUUGAACCGUAAAGAUGACAUGUUAUUUCGUUGGUUAUUCCGUUAUGUGUUUUUGAACUGCUCAUCACUACUUUCAGACCUUAUUUACUUUAGUUACAUAUUGAGUUGGCGUACUCACGUUACUCCCUGCACCUUGAGUCCAGAUCCAAGUGCCCGAGUGAGCAUUAUUUAGUUGGUUCAGUUUUCUGUCGGGGAUUUCGAGGUAGCAACAUGGCGUUCGUAGCCCUGUUCUCUACCUUCUAUCUUGUUAUCUUUUUAGUAUUUUCUAGACUAUCUAUGUAGUAGGAUGUUUGGACUUGCAUUAGAGGCUCUAGACUCAUGACACCAGAUCAGUUGGGCUGUGUAGUUUAUUAUUAUUUUGACUUCCACAUAUUUUCUGUCAUUUUAAACAUUUAUUAUGAAAUCGGUGUUUAAAACUCGUGUUGGAAAUGUUUUCUUACUAAAGGAAAUGGGUUGUGGUUAGUGGACUGGUUGGCUUGCCUAGUAAUGUGACAAGUUGGUAUCAGAGCCUAGGUUACAUAGGUCUCGUGAGUCAUGAGCUGGUUUAGUAGAGUCUCGCGGAUGAGUAUGGAGACAUUUGUAUUUAUCCUCGAGACGCUGCAGAACCUUUAAGAAAAACUUCAUAUUCUUGAAAUUCUUGUCGUGCAAAUUUCUUGAUCCGAGUAUUAAACAUAUGAUAUUCCAUUCUCUCACAGAUGGUGAGGAUACGUGCUACCGAGUAGGGCGGAUGAUCGCUAGUACCACCAGCUGGGGUCACCGGAGGCCGAGGUCGCGGUCGAGGCCGUGGUAGGGGCAGAGCAGCUAGAGUAGCACCGACAGAUCCACCAGCUGCCCUAGUUCCGGAUCAGGUCCUGGUUGUGGAUGUUAUAGCAGCACCGGUUCAGGUACCAGCUGUGCCUAUUGUGAUCCCAGGUCUCCAGGAGGCUUUAGCUCAGAUAUUAUCAGUUUGUACCGGUUUGGCUCAGGCGGUUUCAGCUACUAUGGCCGCAGCUACUUCCCAGGCCGGGGGAGUCACCCAGACUCCCGUUGCUCGCACACCUGAGUAGGUAGUGAAGGGAUUACAGACAAUGGGGGCACCUCAAGCCCAGCCGGUUGCACCAGCUCAGAAGUUUGUAGUACCAGUUAUGCCAGAUGAUGAGCAGCGUCGACUUGAGAUGUUUGGUAGGCUCCAACCUCCGUCAUUCAGCGGUGCAGAGGGCGAGGAUGCCUAGGGGUUCUUGGAUAAGUGCUAGCGAAUGCUUCAUACAGCAGGGAUUCUUGAGACUAGUGGUGUGGUAUUUACUACAUUUUAGUUUUCUAGGGCUGCCUUCACUAGGUAGGAGGCGUAUGAGAGGCGUAGGCCUGUUGGUGUAGCGCCCCUUACUUGGUAGCAGUUCUCUGUUCUCUUCCUGGAUAAGUAUGUACCACAGUAGCACCGAGAGGAGCUGCGCAAGCAGUUUGAGCAGCUGCGCUAGGGGGAGAUGACGGUGACGCAGUAUGAGAUGCGGUUUUCUGAGUUAGCUCGUCAUGCGGUUUGGAUGGUUCCUACCGACUAAGAGAGGAUAAGGAGGUUUGUUGAUCGCCUCACGUACCAGCUUCAGAUUCUCAUAACUAGGGAGAGAGUGACAGGUGCUACCUUCGAGGAGGUUGUUGAUAUCGCCCGUGAGAUUGAGUCGGUUCACCGGCAGAAGCGAGAGGAGAGGGAGGCCAAGAGGCCUCAGGGAUCUGGUAGAUUUAGUAGUGCUCCUUCGAGGGGUCAGUUCUAGUAGGGCAGAGGCUGUUCAUUCAGGCAUGCUCAUUCAACUCGCCCGGGUUGCCGUGGAGUAUCAUCGGGUCAUGGCUUUCAUAGUUCUCAUCAGGGCCACUCAUCACUUAGUGCCCUUCCAGCUCAGAGCUCGUCUCGUGCUCUAUCAGUCUAGGGUUCUUCCAUGCCAGGUCCUUCUACUUGUCACUCUGGUGUCAGGGGUUCCCUUCAGUCCCCAUCUCCAGCACCGGGGAGUUAUUAUGAAUGUGGCUGUUUUGGGCAUAUGAGGAGGCAAUGUCCUUGUCUUCGUGAUGGUCAGUCUCAGCAGAGGGAUCAGCCCUCAACUUCUGCUCCAGUUACUUCACCACCCGUCCAGCCCGCUAGUGGUGGAGGUUAGGCAACCAGGGGUCGCCCAGAAGGGGAGGUCGAUCAGGCGGUGGUCAGGAUCGUUUCUAUGCUAUCCCAGGUAGACCAAAUGCUAUUGCUUCGGAUACUGUCAUUACAUGUAUUGUUUCAGUCUGCCAUAGAGAUGCCUCUAUAUUAUUUGAUCCCGGUUCCACCUUUUCUUAUGUGUCCUCGUACUUUGCUCAUUAUUUGGGUACACCCCGGGAGUUUCUUGCUUUACCUGUUCAUGUAUCUACCCCGGUAGGUGAUACUAUUGUUGUAGACCGUAUGUACCGGUCAUGUGUGGUGACUAUUGGGGGUCUGGAGACCCAAGUGGAUCUGUUAUUACUGAGUAUGGUUGAUUUUGAUGUCAUUUUGGGAAUUGAUUGGUUAUCUCCGUAUCGUGCUAUUCUAGACUGUCAUGCCAAGACAAUCACUUUGGCUAUGCCGGGUAUGCCACGGAUCGAGUGGCGAGGUGUGACUGAUUACGUUCCUAGUAGAGUUAUCUUUUUUUUGAAUGCCCAUCGUAUGGUUGGGAAGGGUUGUCUUUCAUAACUAGCAUUUUGUGAGGGAUGUUGGAUCUGAGGCUCCCAGUAUUGAUUCUGUCCUAGUUGUAAGGGAUUUUCCAGAUGUGUUUCCUGCAGACCUGCCGGGCAUGCCAUCGGAUAGGGAUAUUGAUUUUGGUAUUGAUCUAGUGUCGGGCACUUAGCCCAUUUCUAUUCUGCUGUAUCGUAUGGCACCAGCAGAGUUGAAGGAGUUAAAAGAGAAGCUUCAGGAACUCCUUGAUAAAGGGUUCAUUCGGCUUAGUGUGUCACCUUGGGGUGCGCCUGUUCUAUUUGUGAAGAAGAAGGAUGGCACAAUGAGAAUGUGCAUUGAUUAUAGGCAAUUGAAUAAGGUAAUAAUUAAGAACAAGUAUCCUUUGCCUCACAUUGAUGAUUUGUUUGACCAGCUUCAGGGAGCGACAGUGUUCUCCAAGAUUGAUCUCCGUUCGGGCUAUCACCAGUUGAAGAUCAGGGAUUCAGAUAUAAUUAAGCGGCUUUCAAGACCCGAUAUGGUCAUUAUAAGUUCUUGGUAAUGUCUUUUGGGCUGACCAAUGCCCCAACAUCGUUCAUGCAUUUGAUGAACAGCGUGUUCCGGCCUUAUCUUUAUUCGUUUGUCAUAAUCUUCAUUGAUGAUAUUCUGGUGGAUUCCCGUAGUCAAGAGGAGCACGCGGAGCAUUUGAAAGUGGUAUUGCAGAGAUUGAGGGAUGAGAAACUUUAUGCAAAAUUCUCCAAGUGUGAGUUUUGGCUUGGUUCAGUGGCUUUCUUGGGGCACGUGGUGUCCAGCAAGGGUAUUCAGGUUGAUCUAAAGAAGAUAGAUGCGGUUCAAAGUUGGCCUAGGCCGUCCUCAGCCAUAGAGAUUCGCAGCUUUCUUGGCUUGGUAGGCUAUUAUUGCCGGUUUGUUUAGGGAUUCUCAUCUAUUGCAUCGCCCUUGACCAAGUUGACUCGCAAUGGUGCUCCAUUUGUAUGGUUAGACAAGUGUGAGGAGAGCUUUUAGAAGCUCAAGACACCUUUGACCACAACUCCAGUGUUAUUUUUGCCAUCAGCUUUAGGCUCCUAUACCGUGUAUUGUGAUACUUCAAGAGUUGGUAUUGGUUGUGUGUUGAUGCAGGAGGGUAGAGUUAUUGAUUAUGCUUCUCGUCAAUUGAAGCCCCAUGAGAAGAACUACCACGUUCAUGAUUUGGAGUUGGCUGCCAUAGUUCACGCAUUGAAGAUUUGGAUACAUUACUUGUAUGGCGCAUCUUGUGAAGUGUUCACUGAUAAUCGCAGUCUUCAGCAUUUGUUCAAGUAAAAGGAUCUUAAUUUGAGGCAGCGAAGAUGGUUGGAGUUGCUUAAGGAUUAUGAUAUUACGAUAUUGUAUCAUCCGGGAAAAGCCAAUGUGGUGGUCGAUGCUUUGAGCUGAAAGGCAGUGAGUAUGGGGAGUUUGGCAUAUAUUCCAGUUGGGGAGAGACCCCUUGCUAUUGAUGUUUAGGCCUUGGCCAAUCGGUUAGUGAGGUUAUAUAUUUUGUAGCCCAGUCGGGUGUUGCCUUGUAUGGUUUCUCGGUCUUCCUUAUAUGAUCGCAUCAGAGAACGCCAGUAUGAUGAUCCACAUUUGCUUGUCCUUAGGGACAUAGUUCAGCAUGAUGAUGCCAGGGAUGUAACCAUCGGUAAUGAUGGGGUGUUAAGGAUGCAGGGCUGAAUUUGUGUGCCCAAUGUAGAUGGGAUUCGGGAGUUUAUUCUGGAGGAAGCCCAUAGCUCACGGUAUUCCAUUCAUCCGGGUGCCGCGAAGAUGUAUCAGGAUUUGAGACAGCACUAUUGGUGGAGGAGAAUGAAGAAAGAUAUUGUGGGAUUUGUAGCUGGGUGUCUCAAUUGUCAGCAGGUGAAAUAUGAGCAUCAGAGACCGGGUGGCUUACUUCAGCAGAUGGUUAUUCUUGAGUGGAAGUGGAAGAGGAUCACUAUGGACUUUGUUGUUGGACUUCCACGGACUUUGAAGAAGUUUGAUGCUAUUUGGGUGAUUGUGGAUCGGCUGACCAAGUCCGCGCACUUCAUUCCUAUGUGUACUACCUAUUCUUCAGAGCGGUUGGUAGUGAUCUAUAUCCGGGAGAUUGUUCGUUUGUAUGGUGUUCUAGUUUCCAUCAUUCGGAUAGAGGUACUCAGUUUACCUCACGGUUUUGAAGGGUCGUACAGAGCGAGUUGGGUACUCAGGUUGAGUUGAGCACAACUUUUCAUCCUCAGACGGACGGACAGUACGUAUGUACUAUUCAAAUAUUGGAGGACAUGUUGCGUGCUUGCGUCAUGAAUUUCGGUGGAUCAUGGGAUAAGUUUCUACCGCUCGCAGAGUUUGCUUAUAACAAUAGUUUCCAGUCGAGUAUUCAGAUGGCUCCAUAUGAGGCUUUGUAUGGGAGGCGGGGUAGAUCUCUAAUUGAUUGGUUCGAGCCCAGUGAGGCUAGGCUAUUAGGGACUGAUUUGGUGCAGGAUGCUUUGGAGAAGGCAAAGAUGAUUCAGGAGAGGCUUCGUGCAGCGCAGUUGAGACAAAAGAGUUUUGCCAGUAGAAAGGUUCGAGAUGUGUCCUACAUGGUUAGCGAGAAGGUUCUGUUGAAGGUUUUACCCAUGAAGGGUGUCAUGAGAUUUGGGAAGAAAGGGAAAUUUAGUCUGCGGUUCAUUGGGUCUUUUGAGGUGCUUCAUGGGGUUGGGUAGGUGGCUUAUGAGCUUGCUUUGCCGCCCAUCUUGUCGAGUGUGCAUCCGGUAUUUCAUGUUUCUAUGCUCCGGAAGUAUAUUGGAGAUCCCUCUCAUGGUUUGGACUUUAGCACAGUUCAGCUGGAUGAUGAUUUGACCUAUGAUAUGGAGCUAAUAGCCAUUUUGGGUCGUCAGGUUCAAAAGUUGAGGUCAAAAGAUAUAGCGUCAGUGAAAGUGUAGUGGAGGGGUCGGCCCGUGGAGUAGGCUACCUGGUAGACAGAGCGGGAGAUGCAGAGUAGAUAUACUCACCUAUUUGAGGCUUCAGGUAUGUUUUUUGACUCGUUCGAGGACAAACGUUUGUUUAAGUUGGGGAGGAUGUGACGACCAGCCCAGUCGUCUCAUGAGUACCGCUCCAUUUCCUCCAUUUCAGCUUCUUUAUGCUUCGUUAUCCAUGUUUUGUGGUAUCGGGUUGGUCGGAUUGAGUUCGGAAUGAGUUUUGUGAAGUUUGAGACACUUAGUCUCUUUUAAGAAGGCUUAGGUUGGAAAAGUCAAUCGGAUGUUGACUUAUGUGUUAGAGGGCUCGGAUAUGAGUUUUGAUGGUUCGGUUAGCUUCGGGAGGUGAUUUGUGACUUAUGAGCGUGAUCAGAAUGGGUUGUGGAGGUUCGGAGUAGACUUAGGCUUGAAUUGGCGAAAUUGAUAUUUUGGCGAAUUCCGGUUGAUAGGCGAGAUUUUGAUAUAGGGGUCGGAAUGGAACUCCGAGAGUUGCAGUAUCUUCGUUGUGUCAAUUGGGAUAUGUGUGUAAAAUUUCAGGUCAUUCGGACGUGCUUUGGUUGGGUUUUUGAUCAAAAGCGUAUUUCGAAAUUUUUUAGAAACUUAGGCUUGAAUCCGAUGUGAUUUGGUAGAGUUGAUGUUGUAUGGGGUGUUUUGAUGAUUGGAACAAGUUUGAAUAAGGUAUUGGGUUAUGUUUGUGCUUUUAGUUGAGGACUCGGGGGUCCUCGGGAUGAUUUCGUGUGGUUAACGGGGAAGUUGAAGUGUAAUUGCAGCUGCUGAAGUUUUGUUGCUUCUGGUGUUUUCGCACCUGCGGUUUGGGGACUGCAGGUGCGGCGCCGCAUAUGCGUUGGAUUGUCCGCAAAAGCGGAUCUUGGGAAGAAUGUCUGGAACCGCAGAUGCGGUAGAGGGACCGCACCUGCAGAGUCGUAGAUGUGGCUAGUAGACCGCAGAUGCGGUUUAGGCUGGAUUAAUGAAUUUCCACAGAAGUGGAGUUUUGACCGCAAAUGCGGUACCGCAAAUGCGGUACCGCAGAUGCGGUGGGUGUGCUGCAGAUGUGGAAAAGCCUGGGCAAAAUGUAUAUAUUUCUUCCUUCGCGAUUUUUGAACGGUUUAACCAUUUUUAAACUCGGAAUUGGAAGCUUUGGGCAAUUUUGAUGAGAGAAAUCAAAGAGACUUCAUUAAGGUAAGGAUUUUAGACCUAAAACACACUACUAUGGUAAUAUUUCAUGGAUUAAGGCUGCAAUUAAAGGAAUUAAAAGGAGGCCUUAAAUUGAGAAUUUGAGGGGUCAUUUGAACUCCGAUUUUGGUACUCUUGAUACGUAUAGACUCGUGGGGAGAUAAGGAAUCUAAUGAUGUGAAAAUUUUUGAGUUUUGAGAAGUGGGCCCGGGGCUCGGGUUUUGAUAAUUUCGGGAUUUUUGGUAUUUUUCGAUUGUUUUCACUUGGGCUUCAUUCCUUUAGCAUAUUUUGACGCCGUGAUUCUGAUUUUGAAUAGAUUCGACGUGAGUGGACGCUGAUUCGAGGGGCAAAGGCAUUNNNNNNNNNNNNNNNNNNNNNNNNNNNNNNNNNNNNNNNNNNNNNNNNNNNNNNNNNNNNNNNNNNNNNNNNNNNNNNNNNNNNNNNNNNNNNNNNNNNNNNNNNNNNNNNNNNNNNNNNNNNNNNNNNNNNNNNNNNNNNNNNNNNNNNNNNNNNNNNNNNNNNNNNNNNNNNNNNNNNNNNNNNNNNNNNNNNNNNNNNNNNNNNNNNNNNNNNNNNNNNNNNNNNNNNNNNNNNNNNNNNNNNNNNNNNNNNNNNNNNNNNNNNNNNNNNNNNNNNNNNNNNNNNNNNNNNNNNNNNNNNNNNNNNNNNNNNNNNNNNNNNNNNNNNNNNNNNNNNNNNNNNNNNNNNNNNNNNNNNNNNNGGCGCACAUGCUAGGUGACGAGCGCGUGGGUGUGAACCGGUAGGGAUUGCGACCUGAUCUGUCCCGUAGCGACUACUAAGCCGAGUAUUUGAUUUGGAAAUACUAUGUUAUUCCGUAUUUUGGAUAUUUAUACUAUAUUAUGGGUUGUAUGCCAUGUUUGGGGCCUUGUGCCGACCUGUAGAAACCCUUGGUGGCAUUUUGAUUGUUUUUCCUCACUUUACUUGCUAAAAGCAUAUCCUCAGUCGUGUUUUACCUAUUUAAAAGCUAAAAUUGGUUUUAUCGCUUUACUCCUAAUUGUGAGGAUUGUUUGGGCUGAGUUCCCUAAUUCAUGUUGUUGUGCCCGAGAGGUUGUGAGGUUAAAGACUGAGAGAUGUUGAGAACUCAAUUGUGAGGAUAUUAUAUGUAUAUAUUAUGGAUCGGGCUGCAUGCAACAUCGAUACUUAUAUAGAUCGAGUUGCACGCCGCAUCGAUAUAUAUAUAUAUAUAUAUAUAUAUAUAUAUAUAUUGUAUCGGGCUGCACGCCGCAACGGUUACUAUGAUUUCUAUUAUUAUGAGAUAUAAAUGAGCUGAGUGCUGAGAGUGAGUACUGAGUGACGAGAGUUGAGUCACGAGUGACGGAGAGGCUGCCCGAGGGGCCAGAUUUUGAGUGAUUCCUUGCUCGAGAAGCCUUGUCAUGAUGUUUUCACUGAUUUCAUUUUCUUUUAAAUAAGCCUCUGUUUGAUAUACUGCUAAGUAAUUGGUUCCAAAUGUUUAAACUGGAAAUGUGGUUUUAUAACAAAAACUGAUUUUUGAACUGUAAAGAUGACAUGUUAUUUCGUUGGUUAUUCCGUUAUGUAUUUUUGAACUUCUCGUCACUACUUUCAGACCUUAUUUACUUUAGUUACUUACUGAGUUGGCGUACUCACGUUACUCCCUGCACCUUGUGUGCAGAUCCAGGUGCCCGAGCAGCCGAGUGAGCAUUAUUCAGCUGGUUCAGUUUUUUGUCGGGGAUUUCGAAGUAGCUGUAUGGCGUUCGUAACCCUGUUCUCUCCCUUCUAUCUUGUUAUCUUUUCAGCAUUUUCUAGACUAUCUAUGUAGUAGGAUGUUCGGACUUGCAUUAGAGGCUCUAGACUCGUGACACCAGAUCAGUUGGGCUAUGUAGUUUAUUAUUAUUUUGCCUUCCGUAUAUUUUCUGUCAUUUUAAACAUUUAUUAUGAAAUCGGUGUUUAAAACUCGUGUUGGAAAUGUUUUCUUACUAAUGGAAAUGGGUUGUGGUUAGUGGACUGGUUGGCUUGCCUAGUAAUGGGAUAGGCGCCAUCACGACCGGUAUUUUGGGUCGUGACAGUAGUAUGCUUUAUGUGCAUUUUAAAUUUAUCAUCGUGAUUGUGUACACGUUUGCGUGACAUAAUAAUGAUUUUUAAAAUAAAUCGAGGUAUGCGUUCGCAACUUCGACCAAACUUUCUCUCUUUAUUUGUGGACACGUACGCUUGACAUGAUUUUUGACGCGCCAAACUAAUGGGUACACAUGCGUGUGACCUGUUUUAAGAUAAUUUCUUAAUUAAAAGAGGCAAACGCACAUAUGUUCUAAAUGAAUAAUUAAACAAUUUAUUUAAGCCAAGUAUGAUUAAAGCGACCAUGCUAAAACUAUAAAAUUCGGGAAUGCCUAAUACCUUCUCCUGGGUUAACAGAAUUCCUUACCUAGAUUUCUGUGUUCGCAGACCAUAAAUAGAGUCAAAUUUUCUCGAUUCGGGAUUUUAAACCGGUGACUUGGAACAUCAAUAAACUAUCCCAAGUGGUGACUCUGAUUUAAAUAAAUAAUCUUAUUGCAAUCAAUGUCACUUUAAUUGAAAAAACUCCCUUAUAUCCCCCUCGGAAAAAAGGAGGUGUGACAGCUCUGGCGACUCUGCUGGGGACAAGAACCCAGAACUUCUGGUUCAGGGUUCAAGAAUUCGAGCUUUUUAAUAUUAUUUUAUUUGGCUUUAUUUAUUGUUAAUAUUACCGUAUUUUUAUGAACCUAAUGUGCUAACUGUUGUUUAUUUACCAUUUCGAUAUGGUUAGAAUUGUAUUAAAAUGUCUUCUUACGCCACCCCUCUGCGUCUUCUAAAAAUGGUGCACACGUUUGCAUGGCCCACUUUUUCUAUUAGAAGUUAUACCAAAUAGAACGAGGCUGGGCCAGCAACAAGACCAAGUAGACUUUCGUGCUCCCAGUACGUUGCUCCCUCUUCGGCUCGAGUUGUCCGCUCAGGUAAGCCAGGUCAAGAACACAACCCUAGGUUUAAACGUAGAAUAACAUAGCCUCAUGCCGGAUCCCUAGUAGGAACUUUUGUCUGCAUCAUGUGCAUUUGACUUAGGGGACUCAACAUAGGGGUUGGGUCCGUCUAUGACAAGUGUACCCGAAAUGAAAGACUAUUCUGAUUCAUCUUAUGUGCUAUUUGUACAUUUAUUUGCUUCGGCUUGUAUGUUGACAUGCUAGGAAAAUAAAAUCAAGAGAAAAACUAAGAGUUAUGUAGGAAGGAAAUUGUCACGACCCAAAUCGAUGGGCCGCGACGGACACUCGAUACCUUACUCAACCGAGUACCAACGUAACGUAUCUUUCUUAUUACAUCAUCAUAUACACAUGACAUAGAAGCCUAAUAGGCCGACAUGAUCCUUUAUAAACUCAAAACAUAGUCCGACAAGUCCGUACAAUCUUUUACGUAUACGACAUAUGUCUACAACCAUCUAAGAAUACAUAAAUGUCAUAAAGGUCGGGACAGAGUCCCGCCAUAGCAAACAAUACACGUCUAAAUCAUACUAACCAAACGAGCAACUCCGAAGCAAAUGGAGAGCACCAACGUCUUCCACCGAGCUGAUAGCCUACUUGGAGGACUCCCUACCUGUCUAUCGGGACCUGCGGGCAUGAAACGCAGCGUCCCCAGGCAAAAAGGACGUCAGUAUGAAUAAUGUACCGAGUAUGUAAGGCACAUAAAUAAAUACAUAAGAGACAUGGAAGACAUAUAGAGUACAUGACUCAACCUGUAAGUCUGAAUAACUUAGUAAAUCAUAAAUUACUUUUAGCAUCAUGCGUAUGCAUAUGAAUGUCAUGUCGUGCAUAGGUACAUGUUUCAUAACAUCAUCAGCCUCUAAGGGCAUCACAUCAUAUCAUAUCGGCCAUUGUGGGCAAAAUCAUCAUCGUAUACCAGCUGAUCAGGUGGUGGUGCGUAUAUAAUUCCAUAACCUUUCCUAUAUCCCAUAUACGUAUAUAUACAUACAUAUAUACGCAUAUAUAACGCCGUUUGAAACAUAUUUCAGCCACUGUGGGCAAGAUCAUCAUCAUAUACCAGCUGAUCAGGUGGUGGUGCAUAUAUAACGCCGUAACCUUUUCCCAUAUCCCAUAUACAUAUAUUUACUUAUAUACGUGUAUAUAACGCCAUAUGGUCAUGGGUCAAUGCACAUUUAUGAAAUGCAUGAAAAGUACAUUAAUAAAAUCUUUUGGAAUUUCAUAAGACCAUUUUGUCUUUGAGCAAUAUCAUAAAGUAAACUCUUUUCAACUUUCGUAUUUUUUUUUUGAGACGCAUAAACAUAUGAUAAAAUAUUAUGACACAUGGAAAUUCAAGAACAUAGAUACCUCUAAUACUUUUAUGAAUAGAGUCAUUCAUGAAAUUUGUGUAUUUGCACGUUUCGUUCGUAUCAUAUGGAUCAUGCCAAAAUAAAGAAGGGAUAGUCUUAACAUACAUGGAGUAAGAAAAACUCCGUAUAAUAUUCUUGAAGAUUGCACCGUACUCUUUUGGAACCGUAAAAUUUUACGUUGCUACGAUUCUAACAAUUUUUGUUGGAAACCUUUGUGGAUUGAAUUUAGAACCCCAAAAUCGGAUUGAAUUUUUGCUUCUGUCUUUGAAUCCUUGAACGAACAAAGCUCCAGUUCAUUGAAUUAUUUGGAAAGAAUCAAGCUUCUGCUUUAUGAAGCAUUUGAUCGAACUUGGCUUUCGAAGCAAUUUGAAGCUAGAAAAUGGUAUAUAGGAUUCUUACUUGGUAUUGAACGUUUAUGAAUUUUCUUGUCCAAGUCUUAGUUCAAAUGAAAGACAAGUCUUUAUUCCAAUGGAAAAUAAGACUUAUAACAAGUCUUGUUUUGUAAUUCUCACAUUACCUUAGGUAGCCACCUAAGCAUUUUGGACUCUUAGUCACUUAGUUUGGUUAAUUUAAUGGCUGCCACGUUUUUGGCAGGCUUAUCUCUCCAAGACUUCAAAUAAUCCAUCACCACUUAUUAAUUAACUAGGUAAUGUCCCGUUACCCGGUAAUUAACCAAUUACCAGCAAAAUUGAGAAUUACUACCACUUACUUAAAAUAUUAGUCACUUUUCACAUACCUUAUACACCUUACUAGUUUGGUCAUGUGGUACCUCGCAUGACACUAGUCCAUAAAUACUGUGUAUUUUAGCUCCGGCCGUAUUUUACCCCAAAUUGCCAAACUUGGACAAAAUUCACUUUCUUUGACUUGCUCCUCGUUUCACCUUCAUGAAUUUACUAAUCGCUUGUGAAAUAGCAUAAUACUAAUAUUCUCCAAAUAAUCUUUUACUUGGACUGUUGUCAAUUACCUUACGACAAAUUCAACGUACAAUACUAUAGGGUGCAACAUCUUCGUAACUUAAUACUGCGAAGUGUGGCAUUACCGUAAUGUAAUACUGCUGGGUAGAACAUUGUCGUAACUUAAUACUGCUGAACGUAACAUCAUCAUAAUAUAUUACUGUAGAAGGUGACAUCAUCGUAACAUAUUGCUGCAGAGCAUAACAUUGUCAUAAUAUAAUACUACGGGACGUAAUAUCGACGUAAUAUUCCAGGGUGUAACAUCAUUCCCCUCUUUGGAACAUUCGUCCUCGAAUGUUCGCUAAUGCUCUUAUCAUUUUCUUAACUUAUAUCUUCUGAACACUUUAGAACUUUCCUUGCUAUCUAGGCGACUGUUCUGUGAAUAAGUCCAAAGUCUAGGACAUCCCCCCAUAGGCCUCCUUCUCACACCACAACUUUUAGUCGGAUUCCUUCCAAUCUCGUAACCGUUGCUACCUUUCAUCAUGCAGCAUGUAUAGUUCUGAUCUUGUAAGUGUGCCUAAUCUCUAGGCUUCACAUGUAGAGCUUGAUAAGACGUCCCUUUGGGUCUUUAUGACUAUACUGAAGUUCUUCGCUCGGUACUUGGUUGAAUUCACAAAUAUUGUUAUAUCUCAUUGCAUAGGACCGUUUAACCAUCCGUAUGAAUUUACUGCCAUAACUCUUACUUUAGUUUAUCGUGGCUGAGGUCUGCUACCAUAUCCCAGCUUACUCUCGUUGCUCAUUCCAUAUAUAUAAAUUUAAGUCCUUUAAUGUUUCCUCAUUACUGUUUAACUUUAGAAUGACGGUCUAAUCUUAUCUCAUACUUUGUAACUUUUGUCCAUCCAUUGUUGAUUCACCUCAAUAUUGAUCUACAAUGUAUUGUUGAUAACUUGAAACCUCUUAUGUAAUCACUAGGGCCUUGCGUUGAUUGUGAAAUAUUUGAAGUGAUUUUUCUGAUCCACCUAGGGCGAUACUAUACUCCCAUAACGGUAUUUCAUAGCAUUCUUGUGUGGCUUACCUUACGUGGCUAUUUUAAUUUUAAUCCCGUACAAUUCGUGAAAUCCUCUUCAAAUCAUUACUCAAUCGAAAGUACAAACGUCAUUCUUUAUCCAUCACAACUACAACCUCAUUCUACUACUAGGGCAGUAUUCCAUUUCUUCUAAAUGCCAUUAGUCUUAGACCCCUUUGAGUUCAUCCAGGCUAUACUGAGCUUUGUAUACCUUAGAGAAACCAUUAGCUCUUCUUGUUUUCAUAGGCUUAAUCGUGAGGACUUAUCCAUUCUCGUCGCCUUCUCACUCGCCCUUUCUUAUCCUUAUUCCCGACUUCCUAAAACCUUGUCGCUUUACCAUACUUUAAUUUUCCACUUACGCAUAUCCAUUUAUACUAUUCGCAACCUCCUUUCAACGUGCUUGUAUCACAGAUUUCCUUGUGUUAUUCUUGAACAUCAAGCGAGAUAUCAUAUCAUCUCUAACUCUUAUUUACUCUCUUAACUAGACCUCUCGAUACUUAGAAACUGUAGGUUGGAAGAUAUUCCGGUGAAGAUGCUGCUAUCAUUCUCGGACAUUGAAUCCUCGUGCUUCUGGGCCUUUUAUCUAAAGUAUGGACUAUUUACGAUCUUCUUCCUAUGAGUAACUCAUACGUUGUUCACCUUUACCUUACUUACCUUAAAAUCGCGCAUCGUAUCAUCUAUCUCUUUCCUGACCUUCCUUCCACCUGGAUGUAACUCACGUCCAUAACUUGAAGCUCUAUUAUAAUACUCGUACCUCUGGUAUAUACACAAUCCGAUGGGAGCAUCGUACUGACUUCUUAUGAGGCUGGUACUUCUUCUAACUGGAUUCCUUAUAGAGCCAUUAUAUAUUAUGGUUGUUGUGUUAUUUCUCUUAAACAUCUGAUUUUAAGAGUGAUUCUGUCAUGUUCUCAAGCACAACGUUUAUAAUUUCUCUAGGUCCAAUAAUCAGGCUCCUAAUUUACUUAGGUGAUGUAAUUCUUUAGUUUCCUUUUCCUUCUGAUCGGCCUUUACGUAGGCUUAAGCUAUCUUCCAAUCCAUGGCUCAUGGUAUCAGUUAUUACCUUAGCCUUUCAUGGGUGUUAUGGAAUAUCCAUGAUACAAUCUUCUAACAAUUAAAUCCUUUGUCUAUUCCCUGGGCUCAAUUCUUUCUUUUAGCUUAUACCGGAGUUUUCUAUGGCUUUAUGACUGUCAACAAAUAUGUUACCUGGAUAAUGCUCCGAAAUCUUGAGUGUAUCCAUAACGUACUAAUUCUGGAUCAUCGAACAAAUAAUUCUUUCGUUCCAUCUUAGCUUUCUUUCAACGUAAGCUAUUACUUUUCCUGGUCUUUCUGCCUCUUGUUGCGUCCAUACUUAGCUUAUCUUAGUGCCACACUUGCCAGAGUUUUCAUACAACUCAUAUGAUAUCGAAUAUUACUUUUAAUUCUUACUUCCCGUUCAUUAGCCGCGAUAGGUACCAAUUUCCUUUGGAAUGCUUACAAUGUUGUUGCGAGAUUGUUGUUACACGACCAUUUCCUCUUUAGGUUGUUGCACUUAGGUUGAAGCCUUCUUUCUUAUCUCCUCAGCUAGUCUUUCGUUGUAGUAUUAGGGAGAACCCUCGACUCUCGUAAAGUUGUGAGCUUAUUACGGCCUUUUUUUUGAUAUCCUUACUUUCCUAUAAUCAUCCGUAGUUGCUUACUUUCAUGCCCUUGUGCUUAUAUGGUUGCUUCUGAACUGAUAUUUUGACUGCCUUUCCAGUGGCACUUUUUUUAUCCCCGUAACACUCAUAUGAUACCUUAACUACCCCGAAUCUUGUUUGAAUAUAUCUCAAGUAUUAUAAUGAUAUUCUCCGAGGCUGAAUUCUCCAUGUUGGGUUUUACUAUGUUUAUCUUACACGCUCUGAUGACUCGUCUGUAACCGCCUGUUUAGCUAUAACUAAGAUCUUCCUGGACAAUUACUAACUACUCGUUGGCCCAUUCUCAUAUCAAUAUUCCUCGUAAUCUUUCUUGGGUUAUUUGCUUUGUUUUAACUUAUGUUUCGUACUGGAUCCUUAAUUAUCAAUAACAUCUUGGGAAGGAGCCCUUAGUUCUUCUCUUUGACGUCGCGUUUGCAUAACGUUCUAGAAUCGUAGCAUAUCUGUAGUAUUUGGAUAAGUUCAAUCUUAUCACUUUCUCAUUUUUAUCGCAUUCUUCCUUUACCAGUCCAUAGUCAUUAGAACCACUUAAUUCUGACUUAAUGUCACAUUUACAUCACUCCAUAUUCCCUCUUUAGGGGUGUACUGAGAGUUUGAGCUAUGACGACCAUCCUAUAGAUGUUUUACCUCUUCAUCUUUGGCGUCUUUCUCAACAUCAAUGAUCCUUACUUGCCUUGCGGCAAUCCUUCUGUACAAAGGAUGACAAAUUCCCUUACUCGCGAGGGUGACACUUAAUGUAACUGGUACAUACAGUCCUUUAAGCUUAACUUUGCUAACAUUGCUUGCUUUAGGGAAGCGUCUUCCUGAAUGACCAUUCUCUGAAUUUCUCAUGAAUCUUCUUCUGUUGUCCAUCCUAUUAUUGCCGGAACGCGAUCUGAAAUUCUCAUGAUGCUGACUAUUAUCAAAUCACUCAGUCCCUUGCUCAUAUUUAGUUUAUCUUACUCACCAGUCCAUACUGAUUUCUAUUAUCUACGGUCUAACUUUUCCUUUUAUUAAUCACGUUAGAGUCGCAAAUAUUUCUCGAAAUGGGGAUAUGACUGUAUGGCCUAUACUUUUUUGUUGUCCUAAGGACUGUCACCUCUCGUCUCUUCAUUCACUUGACUAUAGAUUUUGUAAUAUAGUCAUAUUUUGAUCUACCGUUGUCCUCCAUGUAACACAUCUUUCUCAUUAUACUUCAUUAACUCUUUUCUUAUUUCUCGCUAACAUUUAUGUCAAUCACUUUAUUCUAAAAACUCAAACAAGACCUUCUUUUGCUUUUAGCUUCCCUUUGCUCCAUCCAGUGGCUCUUCAAAUUGCUUAACGUUCUUGCUUUACUAGGGACGCGAGCCAUACUAAGGUAAUAUGCAUCCCUGCAAGGCUUAUAGUGCAUGUCUUUGUAGUACUCAUAUCUGGCUACACUAUUUUAGAGUGUACCAUCUGGGAGUCUCACAAGGAGAUCUACUAGCACACUUGCAAUAUCUUUCGGAAAUAUCAACUAACACAAAUAAUCCAUUCACCAUUUUGGUUUACUCUAACCUCAGCCAGGUCCUGAUGUUCCGUCCUUUUCUUAAACUACACCUGUUAGCCCCCAUAGGGCAUAACUGAGAUGGGUACGGCAAAUUGCACAUACCUCUGUUACUAUUGAAUAUAAAUCAAAAAUCUUAUGUUCCUCUGCCUCAAUUAUAAAUGUUGUUAACCUUUAUUAGCUGGGCACCUUGUACCCUUCUUCUUCUUGCUUCUUCUGCUUGUUGAAACUUGUAUUUAUCUUCUUAAUCUCUCAUUGUCUUUCACCAUAAAGAUGGAUAGAUAUUCUUGCCCUAAGGGUUCUUAUCAGGAAGCUUACACCUUUCAGUAUACCCAUGAUAUACUAAAGACCUCACAUUUACUUAUCGUAAGCAUCAUACAAUAAUCCAAUUCCUCUCACUCAGCUCUUCCACAAUUAUCUCUCUUUCCAACCUGCUUUCUAGAUGUAGGUGUUAUCUUAUUACGAAUAAAAUAAAAUUUUGAAAUUUGAAUCUUAUAAGUGAACUCUAUCACAAGAUCUAGAGUAAGAAGAAAGAGUGACAGUCUUAAAUGCCCUGUAGCCUCCUGCUUAUAAGUGUGGUGCACGACACACCCAUAAUCAAGACUCUACUAGACAUGGCAUGGAGACUCACUAGGACAGAACUGCUUCGAUACCACUUUUGUCAUGACCCAAACCGAUGGGCCGUGACGGGCACCCGGUACCUCACUCAACUGAGUACCAGCAUAACGUAUCUUUCUUAUUACAUCAUCAUAUACACAUGACAUACGGGCCUAAUAGGCCAACAUGAUCCUUUAUAAACUCAAAACAUAGGUCCUACAAUCUUUUACAUAUACGACAUAUGUCUAUAAGCCUCUAAGAAUACAUAAAUGUCAUAAAGGUCGGGACAGAGUCCCGCCAUACCUAACAAUACAUGUCUAAAUCAUACUAACCAAACGAUCAACUCCGAAGCAAAUAGAGCGCACCAACAUCUUCCGCCCAACUGAUAGCCUAAUUGGAGGGCUCUCGACCUAUCUAUCGGGACCUACGGGCAUGAAACGCAGCGUCCCCAGGCAAAAGAGACGUCAGUACAAAUAAUGUACUAAGUAUGUAAGGCACAUAAAUAAAUACAUAAGAGACAUGGAAGACAUACAACGUACAUGACUCAACAUGUAAGUCUGAAUAUCUUUGUAAAUCAUAAAUUACUUUUAGCAUCAUGCGUAUGCGUAUGAAUGUCAUGUUGUGCAUAGGUACAUGUUUCAUAACAUCAUGAGCCUCUAAGGGCAUCCCAUCAUAUCAUAUCGGCCACUAUGGACAAAAUCAUCAUCGUAUACCAGCUGAUCAGGUAGUGGUGUGUAUAUAACGACAUAACAUUUCCCAUAUCCCAUAUACAUAUAUACGCAUAUAUAACGACGUUUGAAUAAUAUUUCAGUCAAUGCGGGCAACAUCAUCAUCAUAUACCAACUGAUCAGGUGGUGGUGCGUAUAUAACGCCGUAACCUAUUCACAUAACCCAUAUACAUAUAUUUACAUAUAUAUGCGUAUAUAACGCCAUCUGGUCAUGGGUCUAUGCACAUGUAUGAAAUGCAUGAAAAGUAUGUUAAUAAAAUCUUUCGGAAUUUCAUAAGACCAUUUUGUCUUUGAGCAAUAUCAUAAAGUAAACUCUUUUCAACUUUCGUAUUUUUUUCAGAGACCCAUGAACAGAUGAUAGAAUAUUAUGACACAUGGAAAUUCAAGAACAUAGAUACCUCUAAUACUUUUAUAAAUAGAGCCAUUCAUGAAAUUUGUGCAUUUGCACGUUUUGUUCGUUUCAUAUGGAUCAUGGCAAAAGAAAGAAGGGAUAGCCUUAACAUACCUGGAGUAAAGAAAACUUCGUAUAAUAUUCUUGAAGAUUGCACCGUACUCUUUUGGAACCGCAAAAUUUUACGUUGCUACGAUUCUAACAAUUUUUGUUGGAAACCUUCGUGUAUUGAAAUUAGAACCCCAAAAUCGAAUUGAAUUUUUGCUUCUGUCUUUGAAGCCUUGAACGAACCAAGCUCCAGUUCAUUGAAUUAUUUGGAAAGAAUCAAGCUUCUUCUUUAUGAAGCAUUUGAUCAAACUUGGCUUUUGAAGCAAUUUGAAGCUAGGAAAUGGUAUAUAGGAUUCUUAUUUUGUAUUGAACGUUUAUGACUUUUCUUGUCCAAGUCUUAGUUCAAAUGAAAGACAAGUCUUUAUUCCAAUGGAAAAUAAGACUUAUAACAAGUCUUCUUUUGUUAAAUUCUCACAUAACCUUAGGUAGCCACCUAAGCAUUUUGGACUCUUAGUCACUUAAAUUUGUUAAUUUAAUGGCUGCCAUGUUUUUGGCAAGCUUAUCUUAUCCAAGAGUGCAAAUGAUCCAUCACCACUUAUUAAUUAAAUAGGUAAUGUUCCGUUACCCGAUAAUUAAUCAAUUACCCGCAAAAUUGAGAAUUACUCCCACUUACUUAAAAUAUUACUUACUUUUCACAUACCUUAUACACCUUACUAGUAUGGUCAUGUGGUACCUCGCAUGACACUAAUCCAUAAAUACCAGAUAUUUUAGCUCGGGCCGUAUUUUACCCAAAAAUGCCAAACUUGGACAAAAUUCACUUUCUUUGACUUGCUCCCCCUUUCACCUUCAUGAAUUUACUAAUCGCUUGUGAAAUAGCAUAAUCCUUAUAAUCUCCAAAUAAUCUUUUACUUGAACUGAUGUCAAUUACAUUACGACAAAUUCAACGUACAAUACUACGGGGUGCAACAUCGUCGUAACUUAAUACUGCGAAUUGUGACAUUACUGUAAUCUAAUACUGCUGGGUAGAACACUGUCGUAACUUAAUACUGCUGAACAUAACAUCAUCAUAAUAUAUUACUGCGGAGGGUGACAUCAUCGUAACAUAAUAUUGUAGAGCAUAACAUAAUAUAAUAUUGCGGGACGUAAUAUCGACGUAAUAUUACGGGGUGUAACAGAAAUAAAGCCCGGUUCUGAAAACUCCGGUAUUUGAAAUUUUCCCGAAAUUCUGCUGAAAUUUUUCAAAAAAAGCAUUGCAAAAAAAAAAGAAAAUAAAAAAGAAGGAAAAAUAGUCAUUUCAAAAUGAGUCAAUAUCAUAUUUUUUUCAGUUAUGUCAAAACGACCGAACUAUGCGGGUCUAAUUCUCAUCGAAUGCGAGAUACGUAGGCAAACUUCAUCGGUUCCGGCCCCCAAUUUUCAAAAAAUCCAAAAAUAUUUUCCUCGACUUCCUUCUUUAGAAAAGUCUUUUUUUGAGACAACAAUUUUCAAAAAAAUCCAAAAAUAUUUUUCAGUACUUGCUUCUUUAGAAAGUCUUCCUUUUAGACCCCAAUUUUUGAAAUUACAAAAAUANNNNNNNNNNNNNNNNNNNNNNNNNGUUUAUUUACUUUAUUCCUGAUCUUCCCGAACUACGCAAGAUUUGAUUCUUGUUCCCACAUGAUACGUAGGCAACCCACAUCAGGUUCGACCAUAUGAUUUUGAAAAAACAAAAGAAAAGAAGGUAACAAAAAAAUAUAGUUGAUAAUAAUAAGGACCGACUGAGUCCAUUCUAAUGUGUCUUUUAUUUUGAAUUGUAAAGAAAGUUUGAGGUGGUCGGUUUGUGGUAAGCUGGCAACACAUGAUCCAAGGGAAAAAUGUCAUUGACAACUGAUAUCGAAGCUGUUACAAGUGCUCAAGAAACUCAGGGUCAUAGGGUUCAACAAGAGUCUACUGUGGUUGAGGAAAAUAGAAUACUGAAAUAGCAAAUGACCAAAAUGUAUCAAGCAUGGGCCAAUAGCAAAGGACAGCCCUGUCAUGAGUCACAAUUUGCCACCCAGCAAGAGCAGUACCACUCUCCUUAGUACCACUCGUACUUGUUUGAUCUUCCUGCAAACAUUGAGAAGCAUGCCCGAAAGAUGGAAUAGGAAGAAAUGACCCAAAGAGUGAAAAACUUAGAACAACGGUUGAAAAACAUGCAAGGGUUGGCAGGUCAAAAGAGUAUUGCCUUCAAGGAUCUAUGUAUGUUCCCCGAUGUCCACUUGCCGCCUGGUUUCAAGACUCCAAAAUUUGAAAAGUAUGAUGGACAUGGAGACCCCAUAGCCCACCUGAAAAAGUAUUGCAAUCAACUAAGAAGUACGGGAAGAAAUGAAGAAUUGCUAAUAACUUAUUUUGGGGAAAGCCAUACGGGAGUAGCAUCCGAAUGGUUUAUGGAUCAAGACACGUCUCGCUGGUAUGUCUAGGAUGACAUGGCACAGGCCUUUAUCAAACAGUUCCAAUACAACAUUGAUAUUGCCCCAGACCGUAAUUCCAUUUCAAACCUGAAGAAGAAACCAACUGAAAGUUGCUGGGAAUAUGCCAUUAAAUGGAGAGAGCAAGCAACUAGAGUUAAGCCACCCAUGGAUGACGACGAACUAAUCACUGUCUUUCUUCAGGUUCAAGAGCUAGAUUAUUUUCAAAACAUGAUGUCUGCAGUGGGUAAAUCCUUCUCGGAAGCAAUCAAAAUGGAGGAAAUGAUUGAGAAUGGUCUUAAGAUAGGCAAAAUUAUAAGUCAAGCAGUUCUCAAAGCCGGAACUCAGGCUGUCCAGAUUGAAUCUGAUAAUUUUACUGACACAAAUAAGAAGGACGAAGAAAUCAUAAUGACAUUAGGGUUGAGAAGAGGUCCUGGCAGGGCAUCUCGAAGGUACGACCAGCCUCGUUGGUUUUCCGAUGAUGCUCGUGAGCACUAGUAUCCACUUCAGAACUCACAAUACUCUAUCGCUCCACCUCAGUAUGUUGUCCAGCCACCAAAACACCCCAGAAGGCAAGCACGAGCAUCACAAAAUCUCCACCAGCCUCUACAAAAUUUUUAGGUUCCCUAUAACCCACAUCCAAGCCAGAGGGAAUAAAGGGGAACACAGGUUGAAAAAUGAUUUUACAAUAAUAGGAGAGUCCUAUGCAAGCUUAUUUGAGAAGUUAAAGCAUUAUGACAUGAUUGCACCCAUUCCUCCAAAUCAUGUAGACCCACGUGCAAGAAGAUUUGACCCUUCUAAAAGGUGUGAAUACCAUUCUAAUGUCCAUGGGCACAAUGUCGAAAGCUGUCGGGAUUUGAAAAGAGAAAUAGAAAGGAUGAACCAGGAAAAGUUGAUUAUGAUCCAAGAUAUUGACACCCAGAAUAUCACGCAGAAUUCUUUAACUGAACACGAUGAUGCACACUUUGUAGGGAUGAUGCGUGGUGACAUGGAGAAUGAGAAUCCUCUAGGAAACUUGCCGACUGAAAUUGGAGAAGGCCAUGGUGAUUCUGAUGAGCAAAUUUUUGGCUAAAUGUCAAGCUUAGCAAUUGAAAAGUCAUUCCCUCCUCACUAGGAAGGAAUCUCGGUAGCUUGUUUUGAUGUUUUUUCUAUUAUCUGGGUUAUUUCAGGGUUGUGAUCCAGAUUUUAUUUGUUUGAUUGAGUCAAACCCUUCUAUCCCUCCAUUCUAUCUGUGUGAGUCUUGCCCGUUUGUUCUGUUGAUAUUUUCAUUAUUCGGGUUAUUUUAGGGUUUUAACUCGGAUCUUAUGUUGGUUGUCUUGUUGUCAAAUCCUUUCAUCCUUUAUUCAAUAAAAUACAAUUUGUCCUUUUGUUUCAUUCUGUUACUAGUUCUUUACUCACUAGUUAUAAUGACAUGAGAUGCGUGCGGAAAUUUUGGCCAGAUCUUAAGAAUUGAUUUAAUAUGGAAUUGGAUAAAAAACAAAAAAAAACACUUUUGAAGAUGAAUAAAUAGAGUUGAAAUACUUUAAAAUUAAGGUCGAAUAAAAUUCACCUUCAAAUCAUUGUGAAGAUCGGCCUUGAGGAUGUUUAAUCAAUUGAAGUCUGUUGGAAAGUUUGACAUUAGGGGAUGAAAAAUGUUUUGUGACCACGACACACCAAGAAGAAAUCAUGUUCGUCAAUGUUGUGAUCACGAAAAGAUACUAUGUUUGGCGUUUUCGAGGUUGGGAGGCCCUUUUUCUGCUACCCAAAUACUUUAUACCCUUUGUCACCCCUUUGAGCCUGUGUUAUUUUCUUUGACCACCCUCAAAAAAACUGGGGUAAUUCUUAGAAAAUUCAAGUGAAAAAAAAUGAAUAAGAAAAAAACUGUCAAAGGUCCAUGCACCCAGAAAAUAGAAGUUGGGGCAUUUGUUUGGAAAAAAACAAAAAAAAAGACAAAAGAGAAAAAAAAGAUAAAGAAAAAGAAAGAAAUAUGAAAAAAAUAUAUAGUUAGGUUAGAUGUUUGAACUACGUUUGACCUGAUUCAUUAAAAAAAGGAUAUGUAGGCAGCCUCACGGUUCGGUCUAACCAAAUAAGAAUUCAAAAAAUAAAGAAAAAAAAAAGAAGAAGAAAAUUCCAAAAAUCUCCAAUAGUUGAAACUGGGGCAAAGAUUUUAUUUCACUUUUGAAAGAGUCGAUUCCAAGAGUUGUAAGUCUACAGCCCCCUUUAUUUUGAGACUAUCUUGAACCUUCAUGACGUCCUUUCUUUCCAACCCUAUCCAAAAUCCUUUCAAAUAAAGACUUCCCGAUAGGCCUUCAAGAAUGCUAAGAGAAGAAUGCAAUGACCAACGGUUGUCGCACAACAUAGAACACUAUCAAGUUAAUCAAGAAAGCAACAGAAAAAAAAGAGCCUUGCUAGUGAAAACCUUCACGGGCACUGUAAGGUGACGGUAAGGAGAGAUGAAUAAAUGAGAGAGACUUAUUGGUAAAAACCCCUCGGGGCACCACUAGUCGAAAGUGAGUAAUGAAGCUGAUGCAAAGAAUUGGCACGAACAAGCCCGACUUCAAAGGUCAUAAGAAUGGUAAAAGGGAAGAUUUGGUUAGUUUGAUAGAUCAGGUCGUUGAGUCCAAAAUGCAUGUUAUUAUCAUUAAGGCUAGUUAAAAAAAAUCUUCCUUCUGUCCUUCUGACAGGGGCAUUUCUUGUUAAUACUUGUUUCUUUGCAUCAUUGAGUCCUUCACUUGGAGUCAGUCCUUCUCAAAACAAGCAAGAAAAGAUUUCAAAAUCUGCUACCAGUUUUUCAUUUGUACAAAGUAAAUUUGGCCAGCAAACUCAGUUGCUACUGUCAACAUGCCUUGAGGAUUCAUGCAAAGGCCCCACAAUAGACUCUUGUCAGCCUACUUGGCACAAGCAAAGAUAACUUGUGAUUCUCUCUGACAGACAAAUUGGUCGAAAAGCAGGAAGUCAUUCAAAAUAUCAGAAAAGGUCGCUUAAGCAAAGAUAUUUAGUUGGGACAGGGCUGUUUGAGUUGCAGAUACAAAUGGUACUGGGUGUGAAACAAUUAGGGUUGACGCAGAGCAAAAGUCUCUUGAAACCGACUCAAGCUGAUUGAAGCAGAAGCCAAGCUGCCCAAGGCUCAAGGCCACAAAUCGACCACCAUUUUCAAAACUGAAAAAUUUCUCUUUGUAUGAAACAGGAACAAAGCAGUGCAAGGAAACUAUUCAAAAAAAAAACAAAAAAAAACAAAAAGAAAUAAAAAAAAAGAGAAGAAAAAGAAAAGAAGAGAACAGCCGACAAAGAGAAGUUUGUCAAAUCUUUGCCUUUAUUUGUCUUGCUAUUGUGCAUAAAAUCUUGCCAUUGAUCUUCACAUUUUUUCCUCCUAAGAUUAAAAGUCCUAGUUUGAUAGAUUUUUCUCCCAAUAAAAAUCUUAGUCUGAUGAAUUUUUCUCCUAAGUCUUUCUCCUAGGAUCAAAUCUUAGACUGAUGACUUUUUUCUCCUAAGAUUGAAAAUCUAGUCUGAUGCAUUUUCUCCUAGGAUAAAAAUCUUAGUCUGAUGAAUCUUUCUCCUAAGAUAACAAAAAAAUGACCUAAUCUGAUGAACAUUCUUCUAGGAUCAAAAUUUUAGUCUGAUGAAUUUUUCUCCUAAAAUAGAAGACCUAGUCUGAUGAACUUUCUCCUAGGAUAGAAAUCUUUGUCUGAUGAAUCUUUCUCCUAAGAUACGAAAAAAAAAAGAAAAAAAAAGACCUAGUCUGAUGAACUUUCUCCUAGGAUCAAAAUCUUAGUCUGAUGAAUUUUUCUCCUAAGAUAUAAAAACCUGGUCUGAUGAAUUUUCUCCUAGGAUAAAAAUCUUAAUCUGAUGAAUUUUUCUCCUAAGAUACCGAAAAAGGACCUAGUCUGAUGAACUUUCUCCUAGGAUUAAAAUCUUAGUCUGAUGAAUCUUUCUCCUAAGAUAGGAAAAUUAGUCUGAUGAAUCUUUCUCCUAGGAUAGAAACUUUAGUCUGAUGAAUCUUUCUCCUAAUAAUAACAAGAAAAAAAGAGGACCUAGUCUAAUGAAUUUUCUCCUAGGAUCAAAAUCAUAAUCUGAUGAAUCUCUCUCCUAAGAUUAACGCCUAGUAUGAUGAAUUUUCUCCUAGGAUAAUAAUUUUUUUAAAAAAAAAAGAAGAAGAAGGGAAGUCUGGUUUUGAAAAAAAGAGGAUCAAUUUUUAGUUUUCUUGAAAUCAGGGAUCCUGCCUGGAGAAUAGGGUCAGUUUUUACUUUAGUCAAACUUAGUUUAUAGUUUUUUGCAAGCUCAAUCUUAAAUCUAGGAGACGCUCUUCCUAGUCUGGGUCAUUCAGGUUUUUUUUUAGCAGACACAUUUGCAAGUUGAAGUUUUCUUGGUUUCACUCACAUGAGAUGCACAUCCUAGUCGAGUCUUUAAUUUUACUCUCAUCACUGCAUCCUUCAUCAACAGCUUAGGCGAUUUAUAGCUUUGCUAACAACUCACAUAUAUUCCUGGUGCAAAUUGGGACAGAAAAGUUUCUUUUAUUUUGUCUAUUUUGUAGUAGUAGCAGGCACCCACCUGGAGAACUAGGGAAUUCGUUUCGGAAUUAUUUAAAGUUUAAGUCAGUAGCAGGCACCCACCUAGAGAACAAGGGAAGUUAUUUCAGAAUUAAAUUCAAGUUAGAAGUAGCAGAAGCUCGCGGCAAGAAUGCGAGUCAACAAUCCGAGAUGACCAAUAAAAGUUGUCUCAAUACAAAAAAAAUGAAAAAAAAAGAGAAAAAAGAAAAGAAAAAAAAAGUGAAUCCAAAUGCAGAAGCAGAAAAAANNNNNNNNNNNNNNNNNNNNNNNNNNNNNNNNNNNNNNNNNNNNNNNNNNNNNNNNNNNNNNNNNNNNNNNNNNNNNNNNNNNNNNNNNNNNNNNNNNNNNNNNNNNNNNNNNNNNNNNNNNNNNNNNNNNNNNNNNNNNNNNNNNNNNNNNNNNNNNNNNNNNNNNNNNNNNNNNNNNNNNNNNNNNNNNNNNNNNNNNNNNNNNNNNNNNNNNNNNNNNNNNNNNNNNNNNNNNNNNNNNNNNNNNNNNNNNNNNNNNNNNNNNNNNNNNNNNNNNNNNNNNNNNNNNNNNNNNNNNNNNNNNNNNNNNNNNNNNNNNNNNNNNNNNNNNNNNNNNNNNNNNNNNNNNNNNNNNNNNNNNNNNNNNNNNNNNNNNNNNNNNNNNNNNNNNNNNNNNNNNNNNNNNNNNNNNNNNNNNNNNNNNNNNNNNNNNNNNNNNNNNNNNNNNNNNNNNNNNNNNNNNNNNNNNNNNNNNNNNNNNNNNNNNNNNNNNNNNNNNNNNNNNNNNNNNNNNNNNNNNNNNNNNNNNNNNNNNNNNNNNNNNNNNNNNNNNNNNNNNNNNNNNNNNNNNNNNNNNNNNNNNNNNNNNNNNNNNUUCAGAUAAAUUCAAGUUAGAAGUAGCAGAAGCUCGCGGCAAGAAUGCGAGUCAACAAUCCGAGAUGACCAAUAAAAGUUGUCUCAAUCAAAAAAAAUGAAAAAAAAAGAGAAAAAAGAAAAGAAAAAAAAAGUGAAUCCAAAUGCAGAAGCAGAAAAAAAAUGUAAACUACUCAAGACAUGGUUGAGGUCAUGAGCGCUACAUGUCCGGUCUUGAUCCAAAAAGUUGAAGGAGAAUGAACUAGCACAUGCAGCUAGCAAGCGUCAAGGUUCAAAUCUACCGUCCACAUGAAGAACCAUUCAAGACUCAAGAUUAAGCUUCAGAAGACUCAUAGAUAAGAAUCUUGUAACUCGUAGCUGAUAGGCUUAAUUAGUUUUUUUUUCAGUUUUGAUUUUUUAUGCAAUAACGGGACCGCGGACCAGAACCUUGACGGAACCUCACUCGAUCUCGAACUCAUCACUCCAUCAUUCUUCUUGAACUACAUGCGACCUGAUUCCCUUAUAACCCGGGAUAUGUAGGCUGUCCAAAACCAGGACUCGAUUGCACCUUUUUCUUUUAGUUUUUUUCCUCUUCUGAAUAACGAUAUGGUCAAAAUUUAGUCACAUGGCUCACUUUAUCUUUAUCCGAAAACUCUUCUUGUUUCCAAGGAAAAAACGACAGCUAUGAGCACCUAAUAUUUGACCAUAUUUGAAUUUUCACUCACUUUUAAGUAAGUAAAUAUAUUUAUUAAGUUUAAUCUUCAUAUUUUAGUCUUUAUUUCACUUUUUAGUAGGUUUAUUUGAUAAAAUUAAAAAUCAUACAAAACAAAAGUCGCAUUUUUAGAGUUGUAAUUUUUAUUCUUCCAAAGGAAAGAAAAAAUUCAAAAAAGAAAUAAAAGAAUAUAUAUAUUGUUUCCAUAUAGUUUAGUUUGAUUCCUAAGUUAGAAAUUUCAACAAAUAAAUACUGAGCAGUUAUUAUAUUUAUUUUAGCAGUAGUGGUAUUUUAUUUUGUUCACUCUUUGUCCAUUACAAAGAAAGAGAAAAAAGGUAAUUUUAAAAUAAAAGAAAGAAAUCAAAAGAGAGGGGUCCACCUUUCAAAUUCUUUAAAUGGCUCUCCGUAAAAUUUUAGUCACGGCAUUUUGAACCUUUGAUAUUUUCUUUUGACCUUAUCUCUUCUAGGAGCCUUUUCAUUUUGUUAUUUUUUUUUAUAUUUUUGACCAAUCCGUGCUUUACACAUAAUUCCUUUGUCCAUUCUAACAAACCGAGAUGCACAAUUCACACAUCAUACAAAUUUACAUUCACAAUCUACAUUUACCCAUACACAUUUAAUAAUACAUGGAAGAAAUCUUUUUUGUUAUUAUCUUAACACACUUUUCCACGCACUCAUAUACUGCACAUGCCACCAUCCAUAUUCAUCCACACAAUAAUAACUGCACAACUUUUCCUCCAAGCAACUCUCCAUAUAGAAUCACCAAGGCAGAGAACAGAAAACAGAGAAGAACGAAGGGGCCGGGGGAAAAGAGAACAAGGAAAAGGGAACAAAAAAGAGAACGGACAGAUCUGGGGAACAAAAAUACAGGGGAAAGAGGGAUUUGCACAACAAAAAAUGGGAAAGGGGGCUGGGCAGAUUUCAGAAAAUACACACAAGGCCACACACAAAAAUAUAAAAGGGAACAAAAUAAGGAGUGGAGCUGGAUAUAAAUUAAAUGAACGAGCACCUUCCCUUGACCAAGCUUCAGCCACUUCUAAUUUCCAAGAACGACAACCUCCCAAAACCAAGCUAAUCCCUCUUCACCCUACAACAACCUGCCCUCCUCUAUAGCAUAAACGAAAUGAAAAUGACGAGAAACAGAGGGGAAAGUGGAGCGAGAAAAAAUCGAGCAUAAAAUCGAGAUUUGGAAAAAAAAAAACACAACCUUCUUCUUCAUCAAAGAUCUAGCUCUAAAACCAACCUUUAUCAGUCAGAAAUCAGCUUUCAAACUCCAUAAACACAGCAGUUUGGUUUUCUUCACCAUCGAUUCUAUUUUCCGUUCGCGGUUCGUCACAUUUUUUGAGUUCAAAGCUAUCAAACAAUUGAAUUUUAGACUUAUUUGAGGUUUAUUUCUCCCUUUCCGCUAUUAUUUUUGGUUAAGGUCAUGCUUUUGUUUUGAUAGCCUCGUUAAUCAUUAUGUGUUCUGUUUUAUUAAUCGUUUGAGUUUAACCUUUAUUCCUCUGUUUUGAAAUGUGUCCUAUUAGUAUUUGGUUUGUUCAGUUUUGUUUCGCUAAUUGUUGUUUAUAUAUAGUUUGGUUUAAUCUUCUUGGAUAGAUUUUCAUGACUAAAUAUGAGGUUGGUUUCCCGAUUCAUUGCUUCACUAAGAUAUAGAUGUUUAAUGAGUGUUGAUAAAAAUUUUGGUGACUUCAAGCAUCUGGCAACACCUCAAAUGAAAACUGACGUGUAUAAAAUGUAGUCUAAAUUAAAGUUAAAACAAAAUAAAGUUGAAGAAUUGAAAUUGCAACACCUAAGUGUCGCAUGUUUCUAAAAGUUCUUUUGGCCGCACAAUAAUUUCAAACUUAGAAAACUAAAUAAUUUAUGAACAUCGUAGUAUGCUUUAUGCGCAUUUUAAAUUUAUCAUCGUGAUUAUGUACACGUUCGCGUGACAUAAUUAUGAUUUUUAAAAUAAAUCGAGGGAUGUGUUUGCGUAACUUCGACCAAAAUUUCUUAAUAAUAAUAAAGCGUUAUUAAUUGUGGACACGUAUGCAUGACAUGAUUUUUGACGCGCCAAACAAAAGGGUACACGUGCGCGUGACCUGUUUUAAGAUAAUUUCUUAAUUAAAAGAGGCAAAUGCACAUAGGUUCUAAAAUGAGUAAUUAAAUAAUUAUUUAAGCCAAGUAUGAUUAAAGCGACCGUGCUAAAACCACAAAAUUCAGGAAUGUCUAACAUCUUCUCCCGAGUUAACAGAGUUCCUUACCCAGAUUUCUAUGUUCUCAGACCAUAAAUAGAGUCAAAUUUCCUCGAUUUAGGAUUUUAAACCGGUAACUUGGGAUACCAAUAAACUAUCCCAAGUGGCGACUCUGAUUUAAAUAAAUAAUCUCAUUUCGAUCAAUGUCGCUUUAAUUGGAAAAACUCCUUUAUAUUCCCCCCCCCCCCCCCGGGAAAAAGGACGUGUGACAAGCAGUAAUAGCGUUUGAGCAUUGAUAUGUUCCAAUUGCUUGGAACUUGUUUGCCUUCCAUGGUACCGAGCUUAUAUGACCCUUUACCGAUAACUCCGAGGACGUGGUAUGGUCCUUCCUAGUCCGGGCCUAGCUUCCCUUUAUUAGGGUUUCGAGUGUUUAGGGUGACUUUCCUUGGGACUAAAUCCCCGACCCCGAAAUGUCGGAAAUUUGUUCUCCUGUUAUAGUAUCUUUCGAUCCUUUGUUUUUGGGCGGCCAUUCGGACCAGUGAAGUUUCUCGCUUUUCAUCUAAUAGUUCGAAGGCUGUAGUCAUAGCCUUGUUGUUUGACCUCUCGGUGGCAUGUCAAAAUCUGAUGCUCGGCUCUCCGACCUCAACCGGUUUGAGAAAGUCGGCUCUCGGUGUUAUGUCAAAAUCUGAGGCAGUCAUAGCCUUGUUGUUUGAGAAAGUCGUCUCUCAUGUACUUGGUUUUGGAGUUGUUCGUUAUGCUCACAGCACUUCGGGCAACAUUUCAUUUCAUUUUCCUUUCGCAUUUUCUAACUUCUUUUUCAUGUUUUGAAUGAUGGUCUUGUUUUUGGACUAGGCCUGACCGUUUGCACAUGGGUGGUAGGGUGUUGACAGGAUCCUUUUGAUUUUAUGAUCCUCUAAGAACUUUGUUACUUUACUCCCAAUGAAUUGCUUCCCGUUAUUACAAGUUAUCUCGAAGGGAAUCCUGAAUCGAAACAUGAUAUGGUCCCAGAUGAAGUUAAUGACUUCUUUUUCCCGUGCCUUCUCGAAGGCCUGCGCUUCCACCCAUUUUGAGAAGUAGUCACUCAUAAAUAAGAUAAAUCUAGCUUUACCUGGUGCCGUUGGCAGGGUUUUGACAAUGUCAAUACCCCACUUCAUGAACGGCCAUGGCGACAAGACUGAGUGCAAAUGUUCAUCGGGCUGGUGAAUCCUCUGUACAAAUCUCUAGCAUUUGUCGCAUUUUUGGACGAAUUCUUUGGUGUCCUUCUCCAUGCUGUCCCAAUAGUUGCCUGCUCUAAUAACCUUUCGGACUAGGGAGUCAGCACCGGAGUGAUUUCCACAAGUGCCCUCGUGGAUUUUUCGGAGCACGUAAUCUGCAUCCAUCGGUCCCAGACAUACUGCUAGGGGCCCAUCAAAGGUUCUUCGAUAUAGAGUUCUAUUUUCGUCGAGCAAGAAUUGGGCUGCUUUUGUCCACAGGGCCCUCGACUAAUUUGGGUCCACGGGUAGCUUUCCACUUUCUAGAUAGUCGAUAUAUUUGUUUCUCUAAUCCCAUGUCAGGCUAGUGGAGUUGAUCUCGGCAUGGCCUUCUUCGAUCACUGAUUUGGAUAGUUGAACAACAGCCCCAUGGAGUAAGUCAUCUUCCUCAACUGAUGAUUCCAGGUUUGCGAGUGCAUCGACCUCUCUAUUCUGCUCCCGAGGUUUGUGGACCAGAGUCCAUUCUUUGAAGCGGUGCAAUGUGACUUGAAUUUUGUCUAAGUAUCUUUGCAUCAUGUCUUCCCGAACUUCGAAACUUCCAUUUACCUGAUUUACCACCAGAAGGGAAUCAUAUUUUGCUUCGAUUACUUCUGCUCCUAGGCCUUUGGCUGAUUCCAGACCUGCAAUCAUAGCCUCAUACUCGGCUUCAUUGUUAGUCAGCCUUGCAAUUUUUAUAGAUUGCCUAAUCAUGCCACCCGCAGGCGGCUUCAGAACUAUGCCGAGCCCGGACCCUUUCAUGUUUGAGGCACCAUCAGUGAAUAAGAUCCAUACCCCUGAAGAUGUGCCCGUUUUUAGUAGGAGUUCUUUCUAUACCUCGAGCACAAGGGAAAGCGUGAAGUCGGCCAUAAAAUCCGCCAAAAUUUGGGACUUGAUAGCCGUUCGGAUUAAUACUCGAUAAUUCGGGCUUAUGAAAUAUGCCCCGAAGAGGAUAUGUCAUUAAAACACAAAUAUGAUGGCAUUGAAAAUAAGAUUUUAAUUUUGGAGAUGUGUUUAUUAACGCAAGAGCCAAUUUUUCCAGGUGCGGAUACCUGGUUUCGACAUCUCCCAGGGUCCGACUUACAUAAUAAAUAGGGAAUUGCGUACCUUAUUUUUCUCGAACCAGCACACCACUUAGCACUACCUCGGAUACGGCUAGGUACAAAUAAAGCAUUUCACCCUCAUUUGAGGUGUGGAGUAAAUGUGUGCUUGUCAGAUAUCGCUUCAACUCCUCUAAGGCGCGUUGGCAUUUCGGAGUGCAUUCGAAGAUGUUUUUCUUUUUGAGCAAGGAGAAGAAGUGAUGACUUCUGUCUGAUGACCUCGAUAUGAAUCAGUCUAAGGCUGUUAUCUGCUCAGUUAGUCGUUGCACGACCUUCACAUUGUUUACCACCGUGAUUUUAGCCUGAAGGAAUCACAUUAUAGUAGUACGUACCGUACUUCAUGAUGAAUGAAGUCUUCUCCCUGUCCUCGGGGUUCAUCUAGAUUUGAUUAUACCCCGAGUAGGUGUCGAGAAAGGUUAGGAUCUCGUGGCCGUCCGUGGCAUCGAUCAGGCGAUCGAUUUAGGGCAACGGGAAUGAAUAUUUGUGGUACACUUUAUUCAAGUAUUUAUAAUCUACGCACAUUCUUAAUUUAUUCCCCUUUUUGGGAACUACCACCACAUUAGCCAACCAUUCGAGAUAUUUUACCUCCCUAAUAGACCUUAUUUUGAGGAGUUUUGUUGCCUCGUCCUUGAUGAACGCGUGUUUUACCUCCGAUUAACCUGGGGUCGACACUUAGUCGAUGGGUGGUUUUUUCCGGCGGGAUCCCAGUCAUGUCUGAAAGGGACCAAGUAAAGUAGUCGACGUUGUUGAUAAGAAAUUGAAUGAGUUUUUCCUGAGUACGGGGGUUAGUCCUGUUCUCAAGUAUACCUUCCUGAGAUGUUUGAUCAAAAUAGCUUGCUCCUGUUCUUCAAUUUUUGACUUUGUUGCAUCCGAUUCUUGAGGGCAAUAAAGGUUUGGGGAGUGAAGAAGUCUUCUUCAUCGUCCUUGAGGGUCUUUUUAUCUACCGGCUCCUUUGAGGAGGAGAGUAUAGAAGUUGGUACCUCCUCGUGAACCGCAAACAUCUCCUUUGAUGCAUGUUGUUCCCCAUAUACAAUUUUUAUACCGUCUUUUGUUGGAAAUUUCAUUAUCUAAUGAAGAGUCAAUGGUACUGCCCUUAUAUUGUGUAUCCAUGGCCUUCCAAGUAAUGCAUUAUAUCUUAUAUCACCCUCAAUGACGUGAAAUUUGAUAUUCGGAACUAUACCGGAUAUGUUGAUCGGGAGGGUGAUCACCCCUUCAUUGCUUCACCGGCCAUGUUAAAGCUAUUGAGGACUCAGGAGGUAGGUAUGAUUUGGUUGAGCUGUUCGAGCUGUUCUACAACCUUCGACCUGAUUACGUUGGACGAGCUACCUGGAUCCAUGAGUACAUGUUUUACUUGAACGUUAUUCAAGAGAAAUCAAAUUACCUGCACAUCGUUAUGCGGAUGAGACAAGGUCUCGAAGACCUCUUCACGGAAUGUUAGGAUGUCCUUGGGCAUGCGGUCCCGAAUUCGCCCUUCCGUUGCAGCGAAAACUUUUGACCGUUUAAUCAUGUGUCCUUGAGGAACGUCGAUCCCCCCAAUUAUCAUAUGAAUGAUGUGCUGAGGUUUUCCCGUUUCAUUCCUCCUGUCUACCUCUCUUUCCUUCUAGGCUAGGUUUUUUCGAACUUCCUAUUGGUUUUCCUAGCAUAUAUUCUCGUUAGUAUGGGAGAUUUUAUCGACGUGUUGGGCGUUGCGUGAGACCACAUCCACGGGGAUUGGCUAUGGUGCAUCCUCAAGGUUUCGCAGUGGUACACCGAUGACUGGAACAAUUACACCAUUCUCUACAUGGUCUUCAAGACCGUUGUUUUCAUGUGCAUUUACUGAGUUAGACAUUUUGACCAGAAAUCAAAGAUUCUUGGGCAAAAAAGUGUAAAGAAUAACUUGUGUUUUCAGUAAACCAGCACGAAAACAAUCAUUAUUAUUUUUAGUCCCACAGUGGGCGUCAAACUGUUUACCUCGAGAAUGGUAAUAAUAAUUAUAUUUGAUUUUGUGGUUCUAAAAAUACGUGAUUUUAUUUUUAUGCUAGUUGUUAGGCAGUAGAUGCUAAGUGUGAGACUAGAAAAUAAGAUAAGAGCUCGAAAAUAGAAUGCUAUGCAAAUUGAGUAGUCGAGGAUCGGGGCCUCGAGCUGGUCUAUACUGGGCCUCGGGGUUAAGCUAAUGAGCUCAUUUGGUGAUAGGCAAUGAAGGACUAACAGUUCUAAAAGCUUUGAUGAGGGCUCUUUAUGAUCAAUGAUGAGUAUAAAUGAAGAAUAAUUGAUGAAACAAAAUAAAUGUAAGCACUAAAUCAGAUUAGAGAUAAUGGAGAAUGUUUUAAGUUAGAGAGCAGAGAAUGUUCUUGUUCUUGUAUUGAAUAUCAUGUGUGCAGAAAUAACAAGGGUCCUAUUUAUAUAGGAGGGGGAAUCCCAACAUAGUACAUAUGCAUUUAUUACAAGGGAAAGUAGCUGGUACAACUACUUAAAGGUCUGGUACAGACUUGUACUAUUCUUGUAGGCGUUGUCAACUUUGAUCACGCACCUCGAGAAUUUCCCACUUGUCCAUAAUUGUAAUCGAUCUGCACUACCCUAAGGUUGAGCAUAGGGAACCCUCAGGGUCGAACCUCGACCGGUGACUCGAGCCUAUAGGGCUACGAAAUGUCAUAUCGAUCAUAAAAUUAUAGCGUCCGAUUUUAGUCGUGUACAAUGUAGAAACCCCAUAAACUCAGCGUUUAAUGCUCAUGUAAGUGAUGAUGAUGAGCACUUUACAAAUACAGAUUGGGCUAAUGUUAAAAUGCUUGUAAAUUUUUUAGAAAAAUUUAAUAUUGCUACAAAUAAAUUUUUUGGGCAAUAUUAUCCUACUAUUUCUAACUAUUUAGUUUAUAUUGCACAACAUGCAAAUUUGUAUGUUCAUUUUUCAGUGGGUUGGGAAAUUUAUGAACAAGCUAUUGAUUCUAUGAGAAAAAAGUUUAAAAAAUAUUUUUUCCCUAUUCUUCCUAUUUAUGGUGUUGUUGAUUUGUCAAAUCCUACUAUGAAAUUAGGAGGUCCUCAAUUUUUGUAUAAAACUGUUUAUAAUGGUUUUGCACUUGAAGAUGAGGAGUUGUCUAAACUUCUGGAAGCACAAGCUUCAAUUAAAAUAAAUGCUCAAACUAUUUAUAGUACUUAUCAAAUUGCAUUAGAUCAUGCUAGACCAAAUUUUCCAACUCCUUCUUCUUCUAGUUCUCAAUCAUCUCAAAGAACUGCGGGAGUAAGAGCACAUACUGCUUGGGCCGGG
rnacentral:lncRNA from 1 species